rnacentral:lncRNA from 1 species
GAGCGAGCGGCGGGUGUCCCUGAGAGGCCACCUUUCGACCUUCGAGGGCCAGGAGGAUACGGGGAGGUGGCCGGAGGGAGUUCCCGAACACAGGUCUUCCUGUUCCCGCCGAGCAGGUGUUGGCGGUGCCAGGCCCGGCCUGGCGGGCCCGGGCUGGCAGCCAAAUACCCAGCGUCUGUGCUCGGGACGGGAGUGUUCGUCCAGGACGUGCAGCUCCGGAGCCUGCGCGGGCGACCUUGACCACCUUUGUCGGCUGUUUCCCCCUGAGGGAAGUAUACCUGUCCUGCCAGCCUUGGUCUCUGGCAGGGAAGGUCCUUCCAACAGAGAGGGAAUUGCUUAGAAUUGACUCAACACUGCCUCCUUGCUGAAUGGAUAAUUCAAGCAAACAACUCAAGAGCUGGAUGCUGCCCAGACAGGUAGGCAGCCAGAUAAAGUGAGUGUCCAGGGAAAGAGCAGUAAGGGUCAGAAGAGAAAGAGCCUGGUGUUCUCACUGCCUCCUGCCUUCCUUAUGACUGUCUGUUCAGAAGUCCUCCUAGCAUCUUUCUUCUGCCUUCCCCUGCUCCUGUCCCUGAAACCUUUUCUUCAAAAGAAGUGGAAAAGAGGAACUGGGAACCCAUAUAGCAACAGCAUCACCUGGAAUGAAUUCCUUUAGAACAUACUGUCUUGGAAAUCUGAAGCCUGCAGGGCUGGACAGGCAAGAAGAGCAGUGAGCACUGCAUGAACCUGCAUGUACUCCGAAAUAUUUUUCAAAUGGAAAAGAAAACAGAGAACACAAUUUUCAAAAUAUCUAGAGCCCUCCAAGAAGUCUUUGUAGAGAUCUAUAAAAUCUCAAGGCAAUUUAAAGAAUAGAAAAAUGUUUUAGAAACACUAUUCUCUCCACAUCCUGGGGCAGCAGCCUUCUCCAAAGAAACAGAAAGAAGGAAAUGGAUUGCCUUAGCAAAAAAACAAAUGAAGACACUCCAAAUAACAGAAGAAUGGGAAGGCUACAGACCUUGAAGUCAGAAGAAAAUUUCCUCUCCUUGCCCCGUUUCUCCUUAAAUGGAUCACCAGUACAGUCUCUUACUUCUAGAGCCAUGUUAAGCUUUCUUCCCCAAAGUUGUAAUGUCCUUCUUUUGGUUGUGUCGUGUCCUAAAAUCCUACUCUUUGGUACAAGAUGAAGGUAUAUGAAGAGAUAAUGAAGGAAACAAAUUCAAUGUGUUUGCCAAGAACACAGUCUUUUAAAUAACUCUUAAAGGGUUCGUUUAAAACAGUGUAAUAAAUUGUGGUAAUCUAGUACACAAAGCUAGUAGGAACCUCGUUUAUUAAUAAUAUUUCAACAUUGAGCAGUAGAGGGCAGCACUAUCCUUCUUUUGCAAAAUGUUGAGCACUCUUGAGAAGGAAAAUAAAGGCAAAGCUCCUGA